rnacentral:rRNA from 1 species
GUGCCAGCAGCCGCGGUAAUACAGAGGUCGCGAGCGUUGUUCGGAUUUACUGGGCGUAAAGGGCGCGUAGGCGGCGAAGCGUGUCGGAUGUGAAAUCUCCGGGCUCAACCCGGAAAGUGCGUCCGAAACUGUUUUGCUUGAGUACGGGAGGGGGAAUCGGAAUGCAGGGUGUAGCGGUGAAAUGCGUUGAUAUCCUGCAGAACACCGGAGGCGAAGGCGGAUUCCUGGAACGUUACUGACGCUGAGGCGCGAAAGUCGGGGGAGCAAACAGGAUUAGAUACCCUGGUAGUCCCGACCUUAAACGGUGCACACUCGGGGUGGCGGGAUUUCAACCCUGCCGUCCCUUAGCUAACGCGUUAAGUGUGCCGCCUGGGGAGUACGACCGCAAGGUUAAAACUCAAAGAAAUUGACGGGGGCCCGCACAAGCAGAGGAGCAUGUGGCUUAAUUCGAUGCAACGCGAAGAACCUUACCUGGGUUUGACAUGCAGCUGCAAGGCCUAUGAAAGUAGGCUGCCUUCGAGGGUGCUGCACAGGUGCUGCAUGGCUGUCGUCAGUUCGUGCCGUGAGGUGUUUGGUUAAGUCCACCAACGAACGCAACCCCUUUGAACAGUUGCCAGCGGGUGAAGCCGGGAACUCUGUUCAGACUGCUCGUUUACGCGAGAGGAAGGUGGGGAUGACGUCAAGUCAGUAUGGCCCUUACAUCCAGGGCUGCACACGUGCUACAAUGGCCGGUACAGAGGGUCGCCAAGCCGCAAGGCGGAGCCAAUCCCACAGAGCCGGCCUCAGUUCAGAUCGGGGUCUGCAACCCGACCCCGUGAAGUCGGAUUUGCUAGUAACGGCGUAUCAGCUACGACGCCGUGAACGCGUUCCCGGGCCUUGUACACACCGCCCGU